rnacentral:rRNA from 1 species
ACGGAGGAUGCGAGAGUUAUACGGAUUUAUUGGGUUUAAAGGGUGCGUAGGCGGAUAGAUAAGUCAGUGGUGAAAACCUGCAGCUUAACUGUAGACUUGCCGUUGAUACUGUCAGUCUUGAGUAUGGUCAAGGUAGGCGGAAUGUGUAAUGUAGCGGCGUAAUGCUUAGAUAUUACACAGAACACCGAUUGCGAAGGCAGCUUGCUAUGACAUUACUGACGCUGAUGCACGAAAGCGUGUGGAUCGAACAG